ensembl:lncRNA
GUUUAGCAGCAGUGUCGAUCGUUCUGUGCCACAGUCCAACAGGACUGAGAUACCAAUGGUUAAACUAGCGAUAGAACAUACUGCUAUUGCUAAAUAGAAAUAACCAAGCACCUGCACUUUGGAGCAGGACUUGGGCUGGUCCUAGGACUUGGACUAGGAGAGGCUGGUGAAAGAAAGUUGUUUCUUCACUCAGCUGAUUCUGCUUACUGCUGAGGGUAACUUUACAGGAAGAGUGCUCUGCCUGGGCUCCUUUACCGUGGCUAUUUAAUGGCUGAAAAACUGAAAAAAGAACUAUGUUUUCUUCACAAGCUGCGACCUUCCUAAAGUAAUCAUCUAGCACAAGUUUGCCUCCUGGACUAUUCCAGAAAUUGAUCUUCCAGUAACUGAGAGAACUCAAAAAUACCCAAUGCUGAUGUGGCUUCAGUAGUCAUUGUGGUCUCUUCCUCAGAAGAAAGUCUGAAAAUAGGGGUCCCCACAGGGUUUUGUUCUGUAGUUUACAGAGGCUAUAAAUAUAUUAAUCAACCCUAAUGAUUCUCCAGAAUAUAUUCACUUCAAUACUAAUGGCUAGAUUGCCCCAUAAUGAAGAGAGAUUUUAUGAUAUUUUUGUCUAGUUCUAUUGCACUUUUAGUGGCUGGAGAGAUUCCAUUUAAGUUAAUCUCGUGUCUCUCCUUCAGGAAGCAAGGUCAUGUCCAGUAUCAGUUAAAUAUAUGGCACUACGCCUAUCAAGACUUUUGGAUCUUGCAGUUCCAGGGGCAGAUUUCAACACACGCAGUCCUUUACUAAUAUUAAAUAGCAAAAUUGCCUUAAGGAUCAUUAAAACCGUUGUGAUUUUUUUGUGCAUCUGCUGUUUGUCUCUCAGUGGAAUCUGACCUCUCCUUGCUUUGUGUGCCUUGAAGGGUAAGACUUCUUUGAUGUUCUCUCUCUGUAUUCACUCUUCAGUGCAGUCCCUACUGCUCCUGGAACAGCUGUUCCUCUGCUGCUCAAUCUCAGUUCUUUGGCUUCUUUCACCCUGUCUGUAAACAUGGCUGUAUGUUCCAAAUAAGCUUUCCAACACUCAUUCUCUGCUAGCAUUUAUCAGACCUUAUUAGUUAGUGUUAGUAUUUCCAAGUCCAGUUUGCCAAUGGUCUUUCCUAGCCAAGUGGGCUUCUUUCUAUUCACAUCCUCCUUAAAGCUGCUUUAGGACCACUGGCACUUCACAUCUCCACCGUAUCCUUCAGUGAGCCUGCAUUCCUGCUUUCUGCUUUUACCUCCUGAACCUCCUUGUUCCCUUCAGCACCUCCUCUGGCAGAUCCUCCCACUCCCUCUCCACUGUCUGUUGGCACCCUUCAGAUUUUCACCCUCGGUCCUCCUCCCUUCAUCUUUGUAGUACCUAUUUUGGCUAACUCGUCCUCCCCAUCAGUUUCUGUUACUUAUAACUCUUUUCCUCCUGUUGUGAAUUUGUUGCUUCUUUGAUAUUGCACUGCCAUCCUAAACUCUCUUUUGAUGGGGCUUUCUUAGCUAUCUCAAGUACGCUCUUUUCUCCCGCUUUAAGUUAUUGUACCAUCUUCUUGUCUUGCAGCUCUAAUGUCAGUGUUGAUUUCUCAUUCUCUCCUUAUGUCUCUAUCUACACAGUUAUUAAAUCAGAUUUUAUUCCAUAUGACAUUAGCUAGUCUAUCCGUGGCAGUUUGUCUUCAUUGCUUCAGUACUUGUCCAUUUUUGCUCUCAUUUCCAAGCAUCUUUUUGCUAUUUUCUAAAACAAAUUAGCUAUGCAUAUGUUCACUCUUUUCUAACCAUAUCUCCCUUUAAUCCAAAUCAUUUCACCUGCUUCCUCAGUCUUACUACAUAAUCCCUUUUAAUGCUUUGGAUAACCUCUCUCCCCGAACCUCUUUGAAUUUACCUACAACCUUUUUUUUUUUUUUUUUUUUUCCCUGCCAAGGUCCUCAUUUCAUUGUCAUUUUUUUACAGGCUUCCUGCAGUCUAGAGAGGAGGUAAUUCACUUCAUUUUGGCUUUUUAUCCUAUUUCUGUCAUUAGCAAACUAAUUAAUGAUACCUAACACCAGCAUGUGUGCUGGAGAGACUACAGUAAUGAGGUGAGACUUCCAAAAUGAACUUAUGUCCCUCCAAUUCAACACUGAUUUGUCGUUCUCUGGAAGUCUCGUAUCGGUGUUCAUAAUCUGUGAUUGGCAUCCUUUUGUGUCAGCAGCCCAGCAAGGUGGAGAGCAAAAAGGAGAAAGGGAAAGAACUUUUCUGCAUUUCCUAAGAGUGGAUUGAGUUAGAUGAAGGAAUACUCUCAUCCUAUUAUGAAAAAAAUCAAGCACUCCCCUGCAGGAGACAGCUGGGAACACUAAAAUAGUGCAAUGGGAACAUGUAGACAGCAUUUUAGCCCUGAAAUAAGCAGUGUGGCAAGUGUUGUCUUUGUCUUUUUAUGUACUGUUUUAUAGGACUGUCCUUCAUUUUGUCUUACAGCAGUAAUGUUUGUGGCACUUCAACAAAAACGGCUUUUGCAGUUAUUAAAAUGCUGAGGUGUUUACUCUCAAAUUCUUUGUUGCAGCGAUUUGUUUCUCUUGGGCACCAAUCUUUACAGAGAGCGAAAGGGGCAGAACAACCUGUAGCACUGUCUGUCUCAGGAUCUUGGGGCUGCAGCUGCCGAUACGCACAGGGUGACCUUCCUGUUUCCGAAUGCUAUUAAGUCCUAAUGGCAGGAGACCUCUGCAUCCUGAGGGAAGGAUUUAAACCACCGAAACUGCGCCGGCUGGCAGAACAGAAUUUACCAGCCCUUGGAGGAAGGCUAGAUGGAAUCUGAACAACCUCUGGGUCAGCCUGUGGCAGCAGAGGAUCCCUCCUCCCAUGGAAGAGGUGUUCGUACCGCUCAGGUGCCGCAGUGCUGCGCCGGCAGUCCCACCACAGCCCCCAGCAGAGGCACCUGGCAGGGCUGCCUCCAGCCCAGCUCAACAACACGAGCUGAACGAGCCCAAGUGCUUUCUGAAAGCACAGCUGUGCCCAGAUCGGGGCAGUUCCUGGCAUCACUAGGUGCGAUUUUUCCAUGCUCAUAGCCAGCAUAGUUACGCCUCUGAAACUUUGUAGUAGAGACCUGGCUGGAAUCCUUCAGAUCCUCGCUCUCAGCCUUGGCAAAGCAAGCCCUCUAACUCUGUUGGAGCCAAGGCAGCUCAGCUCUUCCCAUUUAACAGUCCAGACCUUGUUCUUUCAGUGACCAGAAAAGUUGUUCCUGCGGGAAUGGCUUAUCUCUCUGUUCACUGCUUCAUAUCCUGCCUAAAACACUACUAUGGGAUGUAUGGCUGCUCUACUGGAUGCCAAUAUCCAUCCUGUGCUUUUGGAAAGGCAAUUCAAAUUCUGUGCACAGGCUUCUGGCAUGCUGAAAGCUUUUGGUUGCCUGUGUCCAAAGGGCUUACUUGUACAUGUGUGCAGUGCUGGGUUAGCUGGCAGAAAAUAUCACAUUUCCAAACCCUCUGCAAGGAAUCAGUGCUGAAGUUCUGCCUCCCUGAUCUUGUAUUGAUGUUUCCUUUGCUAAUGGCAUGUUAGAACACAAGUUUUAUUUACCCAGGAUAAUAUUUCAUUUUGUCCAUGUGCUGAGGUGAUAAAGUACUUAAAUACAUUGGAUGAUCUUUUCCUAAUGCCAUUUGGUGUGUUUAUGUUGUGUUGCCAUUUUUUAGAGAUAAAAAGAGGCUGAAAGAGCACCAGAGCAUGGAAGAGAUACUUAUGAGUGUUGGGCCAUCAUCAGAGGAAAAAAGAGAGACAAAUAUGAAAAAGAAUGAGUGCUGUGUUUAGUACUUUCUUCUCAUCCUUCACACGGGCAUUUCUGGAAGAGUUCUGGUGUGAUACAGUGUGGUUAAGAUAAGCAGUGGCUGCAAAAGUGCAUAAAAAGUUAGAGAUGACCGACUGCGAUUUUUGCCCAGCCACCUCACAGUGGUGCUUCUCUUAGUGGUCCCUCAUUCAUUUGGACAAAGUAUCUUAGCACGAUAGGAUGUGAAACUUGGCCAUGAGGGGAGGUACACAGAUAAUUUGCUGGUUCUUUCAGCACUUGGAGAAGUUGAUUAUCAUCUGAGAAAGAUUCUCAAAUAUUGUUGAGUGCUGGUUCAAAUGCGACAUAUAAAUGAAGUGAGUUGGGGCUGUCUGCUGAUAUCCUCUAAAGCUACACAGCAGUGCUUCUACAAGAAGUAAGUGCCAGGCAAAGAAACCUGACUUACACAAGUGCAACGUUAUGGACGUGAAAACAAUCAAUGUCCAGAAUGAAAGGAGGCCAGAGAAAUAGUGGGACUCCCAUCACCCCUGUUCUAUUUUAAGGAAUGGUUGCUAGAUAAUGCCAUUCAUGGAGAGUGAAGAUGAAUGUUCUCCCAGUGAUACUUUACAAUAUUUUCAGUGGUAUAUUUGCUCAGCUUUGUAAAAUCCUGAUACAAGGGAACAAGUAAUAUGCAUCAAGUUUAUCGAAGCUCAUUAAUUUGAUGAAAUAUAUUGGAAGGAUUGAUUUAUUCACAAUAUUAAACAGCUACUUACGUGAAACUCUGCUUUCUGACUGGUAACGUGAGAACACACAUUGGUUGCUUGCUAUUUUGUUAAUACUUUCACAAAACCACAUCAGCCUCUUUGUUUUUCUGCUGUUUCUCACAGUUCAGCAGACAGCAACAUGCACUUAACAAAAAUAGAGAGGCUUAGAGACAUGUGCAAGAGACAGCUUCAGAAAAACUCUCAAGACAUGCUAAUCAUCUCUAAGAAGAAAAUAUGUUAUUGGCCUAGUAACCAAGGAACAGACAAAGCUUCCAGGAGAUAUGCAGACUUUAAAACAAUCUGCAGUAUAAUUCCACAUAAAUGGCACCAAAACAAUCUCCAAGGGAGUUGCUGCAUCAUUUUGUCACAGCUCAGCACAACACUUGGUCACUAAAUGAUGCAGCUCUUUGAUAUCUCAUUCCCAUUUUGGUUUGCUUAGGCAAAUCCAGAUGAUCUCUGCCCUGUGCAUCAGUGGAUGCUACAAUCAUUAUGGCUGUGCUCAGGCCCCCAUUCCACAGGAAGAACCACUGGAAUUGUUUACUAUGGAGAAAAGGAGGCUGAAGGGAGACCUUAUUGCUCUCUUCCAGUACCUGAAAGGUGAUUGCAGUGGGAGCAGGGCUGGUCUCUUCUCACUGGUGACAGGACGAGGGGAAAUGGCCCCAAGUUGCACCAGGGGAGGUUUAGGUUGGAUAUCAGGAAAAACUUCUCUACUGAAAGGGCUGUUAAGCACAGGAAUAGGCUCCCCAGGGAGGUGGUUGAGUCACCAUCCCUGAAUGUGUUUAAAAACCAUCUGGAUGUGGUGCUCAGAGAUAUGAUUUAGUGGAGGGUUGUUAGAGUUAGGGUAGCAUGAUUAGGCUGUGGUUGGACUUGAUGAUCUUUAAGGUCUUUUCCAACCUGAGCAAUUCUACGGUUCUAUGAUUCUAUGAUUCCUGCUCUGGUCUUGGCCAGCACAGAUCACUAACUCCAACCCCUGGCACCUGCACCAUCCCACCAUUCCUUCUGCAGAUGUGAAAUUCAGCAUGAGCAAAACUCACCCAGGUCUAGGUCAUAACAAGCCCUAGGUUAGAAAAACGUGGUGUUGUCAAUUUUAGUUGGUGUUUUGACUAAAUAUGCAAGGAUUAAUGGUACAAGUGGUUAUUCCAGCAUAUCUGAGAGGCCGUAUCCUCUGGAAAGGUGAACAAACAGCAUGACAGUGGCGGUGGGCUGCCUGGCAUGGGGUGGGUUCUUGUUCAAAUAGCGUCCUCCUCUCACCAAGCAAUAUCUGCCCGUGGUCUAAUAUUGAGUUAAACUGUUCUUACCUUAAAUAAAUGAAAGAUGUCUUAGUGCUUCAUUAUUGCAUAU